UCCGUAGGCGGAAUGGAAAGUCAGAUGUAAAAGUCCUGGGCUCAACCUGGGAAUGCCAUUUGAAACUGUCAUUCUAGAGUAUAGGAGAGGAAAGGGGAAUUUCUGGUGUAGCGGUGAAAUGCGUAGAUAUCAGAAGGAACACCAAUGGCGAAGGCAACUUUCUGGCCAAAUACUGACGCUGAGGGACGAAAGCAUGGUUAGCGAACA
rnacentral:rRNA from 1 species